rnacentral:lncRNA from 1 species
ACAGUUUUGUAGGCUCAAAGUCCAACAUCAAGUUGUCAGCAGGGUUGAUUUCAUUCUGAGGCUUCUCCCUUGGCAUAUAUAAAGGUGACUAUUUUCUCACACACCUUCACAAGAUUUUUCUAAUAUACUCUACUUAUAAACAUGUCAGAUAUUAGGUCUCGCUCAUAGAACCUCCUUUUACCUUAAUUACUCUUUAUGCCCUUUCUCUACAUAUGGUGCUGAAGUUUAGGAAUUCCACAUGAAUUUUAAGGGGAAGAAGGAUAUGCACAAUUCAACCCAAAUAUAAUCUAACAGCAGAUAGUUGUUUUUAAAAAAACAAAUUGAAUGUGUUGGAAUACUACUCAAUAUUAAAAAUGAAUCAAGUAUUGAUACAUGCAAGUUAGAUGGGCCUCAAGAUACUGUGCUAAUUGAAAAUACUAAUUUUGAAAAGAUGCAUACUAUGUAAUUCUACUCAUAGAACAUUCUUAAAAUAGCAUAUCUGUAGAGAUGGAGAAUAACAGAUUAGUGAUUUUGUCAGAGUUUAGAGAUUUGGGGGAGACUGAUGGGGAUAUAAAGGGAUAGCGGGAAGGAGCCCUCUGGGAAUGACACAUUUGUAUUUCUUGAUUGUGGUGGUAGUUUCAGGAAGCUAUGUAUGUCAUAAUAAGCAUAGAGUUGCACCCCCUCACACACACACACAUACUACACAAACAAUCUGGAUUGUACUAAUAUCAACUUUCAGUUUUCUUGUUGUACUAUGCAAAUAGUUGACAUUGGAAGAAGCUAGACAAAAAGGAUGUACAGGAUUUUCCUAUUUAAGU